ACGCAGGCAUGUAUCACGUAUAUUUGGUUCAUCGUUGAUAUUCAUGAACAACAUGCCUUUUCGGAACGGUCGCGUUGCAAACUAAACGGCCUGCGGAUGCAUUGCCCUACGUCAAAUUGAGUAAUUUUCUGACCAUGUCAAAAGCGCUUUUUUGUCUCUUAGGGAGUGGUUCACUGCCUUAAAAAAUGAAGCAAUUACCAGUACCAGUACGAGACAUUUUAAGAUAGUUACAAGUAAAUCCCGGGGAAACGAACUCGCAGACCUGACAGUGAUAUUAGGAUUAUGGUGACUGCAAUGGCAGCAGUUCAUCAACACGUUACAGUGACCCCAUUCGUUGAUUCAUAUUUCAGCUCCUGUUAUCCCAUUGCGUUGACUGGCCACUGACAAUAUGACCUAUUCAAACAGACAGAACGCGUAACUGACAGUGAUAGGGCGAUCAUGUGUUAAUCCCGAUAAACAGCGUAGAAUCUUUCAAUGUCAAAAGGUCUUGACAGUGGCAGACCCAGUCCUCGUGAUGCUCUGUGUGACAGGAAAGAGCCAGUCACGCCUUUAAGGUCAAGAUCUAGUAAAUGAAAGGUGCCUACAGGUUUAUGAAAUUCAAGAUAUAAAUUCUUUUAAUGAUGCUUCAUAACAAUAUCUUUGUUUCAUAGGGUGUACCGGGGCUUAAAUUUUUGGUAAAUGCAAUAAAAAAUCUUGUUUUAAACAACCAUUUUCUAUGAAGUAUGAAGGAUAAAAGCAACAUCUCUCGGAGUUUUGUCCAUUUUUGACUAAUGAAAUAUAUCUAGAAUGCCUACAGUCUCUCCAAAAACAGCAUUAAACAAGCUCUUGACCUCCUCUUUAAAAUGAUGUCAAAUUGAAUAAAGGUACCGGGAUUACUUUUCCCGUGAUUAAAUAUCGAAUGUCAAAAUAUUGUUUUAUUUUCUACAUAAUUAAUUUAAAGCCGUAAAAUACGGGGAAAGAUUCAUCAAAUCAAUUAUGACGUCAUAAUGGUUCUAGCACCAAAAAGAUACUCUGGAAUCAUUUACUAGAUCUUGACCUCAAGUACUGUCUUUGACAACCGACAGUGACAAUAUUAGAAAGCAAGAUCGAACUCGUCAAAUCGUCUCUACUGGUAUCUACGCUUCAUGAUCGAGAGGCAAUGAUAAUGUAAAGUCUGCCCGAAUGUUGACGAAGGCAAUACAUGUAAUUUUUUUACUGAAAUGUGUAAUGAGUCUUUACUCCCAUGUUGUAUAACGCAUCUGUAAUCAGUGCCAUGAAGAUCAUUCUGUUUCGUCCUCUGUCAAUGACGAUUUCUAGAUAAAACCCAACAGGUCUCCGGGGGUCUGAUCCAAUCAGAGGACGGCGGGAUAUGUGAAAUCUUUCUGAUGACAUUGAAUUUCGAGAUACUUUAUACAUUUUAUAUACUUCAUCCCAGUGCCAUUUUCCUGAGGCCUGUUAGAAAGUAGUUUAAAAGUUUUGUUGAACUAAUUUCUGAAACCUCUGUAAAAUUUUGUUUUAAGUUAUCAAUUUAAAAAAAUCAAAAAGAAAUUUAAACUACCUUUCACCUAAUUUUAAUUUCUGUUAUUAACUCAUCUUUAUUUAUUUUAAGUAGAAUCUAUCUCCUGUCAUCAUAUUUUCAGUGUAAAAGUUGCAAUAGUUUUAUGCUUAAAUGUUUUUAUCCAUGAGAGAAAAUCAUAUCUAUUCGGAUCCUGCUGUAUCUGACCAUGAAAUUUCACCCUGAAACUUUAAAAAGAGGGGUGAUUUUGAAAAAUUAAGAUAAAUAAGCAGUAUCCACAUAGCUACGUUUUUUCUCUGUAUGAUCAGUGUACUAGUACAUGUAUUUCUUUCCAACGCCAAAAAUGUUGUAUAUUUGAAAAAUAAAGAU
rnacentral:misc_RNA from 1 species